rnacentral:rRNA from 1 species
CCUACGGGAGGCAGCAGUGAGGAAUAUUGGUCAAUGGACGAGAGUCUGAACCAGCCAAAUAGCGUGAAGGAUGACUGCCCUAUGGGUUGUAAACUUCUUUUAUAAAGGAAUAAAACGAGGCACGUGUGCCUUUUUGCAUGUACUUUAUGAAUAAGGAUCGGCUAACUCCGUUCCAGCAGCCGCGGUAAUACGGAGGAUCCGCGCGUUAUCCGGAUGUAUUGGGUUUAAAGGGAGCGUAGAUGGGUUGUUAAGUCAGUUGUGAAAGUUUGCGGAUCAACCGUAAAAUUGCAAUUGAUACUGGCAGUCUUGAGUACAGUUGAGGUAGGCGGAAUUCGUGGUGUAGCGGUGAAAUGCUUAGAUAUCACGAAGAACCCCGAUUGCGAAGGCAGCUUACUAAACUGUGACUGACAUUGAUGCUCGAAAGUGUGGGUAUCAAACAGGAUUAGAUACCCUGGUAGUC